CACGGAAACCGAUUCAGUCUGCUCUCUCGCAUCGACCAAACUAACGAGCACCAUUUUAAACUGAUGACUGUUUGUUUAAAUUCUGUUUUACAUGACUUGGACGGCAAACCUUUGAGAGUUGCCAAAGUUGGAUUUACUUUUUGCCACUUCAGGCAGUCCCAGCGGUGAUCCCGUGAACAUGGAAAGUCUGUAAAUAAAAUACCCCGCAAGGUACUGGCUUAUCGAGGACCCAGUUUUGCUUCAAAUGAAACUGCUGCUGAAGUGCCCAUCGGCCAAGCAGAUUAAAUCCCAUCUGUCCCAGUGGAGCUGUACGGUGACCAUCAGUACAACAGUGCAGUUGUACCAGGCACUUGUGAUAUGUGUCUCUUUGAGCCCCUCACUUUUCCUUUUGAAAGAGAAGAGUGGGCAGUCCGCUUGCUUCACACUUUUUUUUUCAUGCACUCAGAGAGAAAAAGUUUGGGAGAAGAAAGAAGAGAGAAAGUCGUAGCAGCAUUCAGUCUCGAGCCAGACGUGGCUCACAUGUGGCCCCAAAGGCAGCAGACAGUGUAUUGAAUUACUGUAACUCAAGGUGUAAUGUGGUAGCAGUGGGGGAUAUGUAAAAACUACACAAACGGAUGUAGUGGAGGCUUACUUCAGCUUCAGCUUACCGUUACAGCUAUUCAGUGUUAAAGUGUGUUGUUUCUGUUCUUGAAGGUCAUUUACAGUCAUUUAUAGCUAUAACAGCAGCUUACGUUCUCAAGUGAUAAUCAGCCAGUAUUUGAUUAACCAAUUAUUUCAAACUGCUUCUGUUUUAAAAGCCUUGUAUCUCCAGUUUAGUGAUUUUCGUAUAUGUUCCUUCCUUCCUGAAUAACUUUACUGUUUGUAGCAUGAGGUCUCGCAUUUGUGAGAUCUCGGAAAUACACAGUUUUUAUGUGAUGGUCUACCACGUAAAGUUAUGAGAUAACCAGUUAAGCAUUAAUGUUUUAUAUGUUAGUCAAGAAGUUAAUUAAAUAGUAUUGUGUAUAAUAUCAAUUUGCAACAUUUACCACUAAUAAAGUUUUAAGAUAUGAGCUGUGUUUUGACUGCUUUUCUCUUUAUAGCACCUACUGUAUCAUACAUGUUAAGAAUGAGGUUUUCCAGUUUUACUGUGAUUGUUUGCCUUAAAUGUAUAAGCUAUCAGUGUCUUGCUCUAGUAAUUUGGCAGGAUGCUUGGUUUUUUGGUGCUUUUAAGGUGCUAACGAUACUCACUGAAAUUAAGAUAAUAAAGUCCUAUUCAUUUUAUAUUUGAAUGAUAUUCCUGUGGCAUUAAUGUAAAAAACAAUUACAAUAUCCUAUACGCAUCUCUGGUAAUUUAAUGAUUAGGAGUAAGGUACAAAUUAAGGAACGUUUUGAUUAUCCAACUACAGCUUCUGCAGUUUUACCCUAAGUUUCAAAACUGAGAAGCAUUUGUCAGUUUUGAGAUUUAUGUGACUUACAGGGUUUCAACACAGUCGCACAUAAGCUGUAGCUGUGCAAUAUAACUUGGACCACUUUUGAACACAAGAAAUGCAGACUGAGAAAUCAAUCCAGAGUAAAUGUUCUGUCAUCAAAAUGCACGUCAUUGUAAAAGCACUGCAGUCACUGAUACUGUAACUAUGACCAAAACCAGCAGUCCAUGAAUAUCGACAAUUUUAACCACAUCUCCACAGACACAUAUUCAGCAUUUGUUACCAAAACAUGUUCUAUAAUAGCAAAUAUUGCAAUGCAAUUUUUUUAAAGUCACAUUUAAUCCACAUUUGUUCAGUGGUCUAUAAGGGAGGGAAUAAACGCAAGAUGGAACGUGAGUGGGAUCUGGAAAGACCUCCACAUCCGUAAUGACUCGACAUAAGAAGAAGAAAAUUUCAUGACUUUGAGAGUGAAAGCCAUUUGAAACCAAAAAUCACGCAUUGUUUGUCUCAGUUACUUUAUCUUCACACGAGGACAUACAGGAGUUACUUUUAGCUUUAUUUUAGAACGUGAGCCGCAACACUUACUGAGUUGAAUAUUAGAGUUGUUUUUCUCACAAUAAAUUGAGAGGGGAGUUGUAAAAAUGUUGUGAUAAUGUGCAGAGGUUGAAAAAAAUAAUGUCUUAUUGUGAUCUGAAAUAUAUGUUGAACAGUGUGUAUUUGAUAUACAAAGUUUUUAGAUCAGUGUGUAGCAACUAUAUUUCGCCACUUCUUAUUCGCUAAUGUAUGAAGGUUAGGAUGAGCAUUUUGUUAUUAAUGCAAACUCUUGAACAUACUACUAGAAGUCACAAAACACUAAAUGAAUUCAGUAUGUAGUACUUCAAGCUGUGCAGUAGCGGGAUGAUUGCCCAAAGGUAAAAGUGCAUCUUCUAAAUGUGAACUGUGAAAAUAAACGAGCAAACAACUGUAAUGUUAAACAAACUGACUGAAAAUAACUAUAGAAAUAAAAACUCUAAAUGCCUGAAGAUA